rnacentral:rRNA from 1 species
ACUCCUACGGGAGGCAGCAGUGGGGAAUAUUGCACAAUGGGGAAGCCCUGAUGCAGCCAUGCCGCGUGUGUGAAGAAGGCCUCGGUUGUAAGCACUUUCAGUAGGGAGGAAGGUAGUGUAGUUAACACCUGCACUAUUUGACGUUACCUACAGAAGAAGCACCGGCUAACUCCGUGCCAGCAGCCGCGGUAAUACGGAGGGUGCGAGCGUUAAUCGGAAUUACUGGGCGUAAAGCGCAUGCAGGCGGCCUGUUAAGUCAGAUGUGAAAGCCCGGGGGCUUAACCUCGGAAUUGCAUUUGAAACUGGCAGGCUAGAGUCUUGUAGAGGGGGUAGAAUUUCAGGUGUAGCGGUGAAAUGCGUAGAGAUCUGAAGGAAUACCAGUGGCGAAGGCGGCCCCCUGGACAAAGACUGACGCUCAGAUGCGAAAGCGUGGGGAGCAAACAGGAUUAGAUACCCUGGUAGCAUAGAG